rnacentral:rRNA from 1 species
UACGGAGGGAGCUAGCGUUGUUCGGAAUUACUGGGCGUAAAGCGCGCGUAGGCGGCUUUUGUAAGUUAGAGGUGAAAGCCCGGGGCUCAACCCCGGAACUGCCUUUAAAACUGCAUCGCUUGAAUCCGGGAGAGGUGAGUGGAAUUCCGAGUGUAGAGGUGAAAUUCGUAGAUAUUCGGAAGAACACCAGUGGCGAAGGCGGCUCACUGGACCGGCAUUGACGCUGAGGUGCGAAAGCGUGGGGAGCAAACAGG